UUUGACACCAAGCGCUGCCAUACCCGCCCGACUUACCCUCAGUUUGAAAUUCCAGCGUUAAUCACGGGAUUCCUUCCUGCGCCACCCCUCUGCACUCUCCCUGCCGUGCCGCAAUUCCUUACUGGGCACCUGCCCGAUCCCAAAAUCGUCGCCACCUCCUUCGCCUUCCCCUCAUCCCUCCCGUCGCUCGAGCACUGGACGGAGAAACAGGGCCGGGCGUUCGGCGACGAGGACCGGCGACGAGACAGAGGCGAGGACAAGGCGACGUCGGCGAGGCUUCGCGGUGUCAGGAGGCGGAAGACCGUCGAGGCCAAACCUGGAAGGGCAGCGGCGGCCACGGCGCGGGCAAAACGAUACGAGCAUCGCGGCCGCGAGCACAGGCUGAUUCCGGUGAUAGCCACCGACGGUGGCCACCAAUGCACUACCGGGAAGGAGAUUAAUCAAGGACGGACCAAAGCAACUUGUUGGGGGGCAGUUUCGUGAUGAUGGCUUAGAAAAAAGGGACCUGAACACACUUGCAUUAGGGGAGUUUGGGUCUUGUUUGUCUAAACCUGUCAGUGUGAUGCCAGGUCAACCAUGCACUUCAUACGUCCUUCCACAAACGGUGCUGGAUUUAUUUUGUUUUUUGUUGCUUCUUCAAGGUAAAUAAUUUUAGAGUUAGCAGGCACCUGUGCGCUUUUACUGCCAGAUUAGCAGGCACCAUUGCUUCGUUAUUUACAGGAUCUAUUUUUGACCUCUGUACUCAGUUAUUGCUUGAUUUUGUAAGCUGAAAUAUUUUGCUUGAUCUUUGCAUUUUAACAAAAAGGGUUUGGUUCACAAUAGAGAACAGAAAGGGAACAUCAUGUAUUCAAAUAUCCAGCCUCUAUCUGGAAUUGACAUUGGUAUGGUCAGAUAUCUGCAAUUCAGUUUCA